UAUCUAUGGAGCCCAAUGUAGUAGACUUUAAAUAUUUAAAGCUAUGAAGUUGUCGGUUCUAAUUUAAACUAAGUUUGCAAUAUCGAAGGUUUAUACUAAUAGUUUGCAAAGAUAUAGAGAUUAGAAAAUUUGAGUUUGUUGCACCGGCAAUUUAGUCGUCAUUAUAAUAAAUGCAUGUAUUAUGUAAAUCUGUUAAUAAUUAAAUCUUUAUACUCAUCAAAGAUAGAAUGACUUGAACGUAUCCAUUAUUUAUUUUUGGCGUGGAUAUUUAUCUAAAUAUAUAUAUGUACAUUCGAAAGUUGAUAUUUUUUGCAUCAUAUUUGUAAACAGUGCACAGUGUUCUCUUGCACUUUUUCUGAUGUGCAGGGAGGCAUGUGGUGGAGUGGGGACUGGAUAUAAAUCUCUGUAAACUAGAGUAACUUAAGAGUUUAUUUGAGAACAAAAUAGUUAAUUAUAAAGUGACAAAAUGUGCCUUGUACGGUGUGUACGUGAAAGUAUAGGUUAAACAUGUCUAGUAUUUAUCAGGGCGCGCCAAGCCGGUCACAUGCUCAUCUCAUAGGACUAAAGCUUUCACAGCUUUAGUGAAACAUGAAAUACAACACUAGAGAUUCAACAUCGUAGACUUGAAUUUAGGAUCAGUGUCGAUUAUUUUUGGAGAAUUUGUGACAUGCUGAAGUUAUACAGGGUUACCCACAAAGGAUGAGACUUCAUAGGCGGUUGUUCAGUCCGUUAUCUUGCCUACAGGGUUCCUUAAGGCCAAAUCUUGCUUAUUUCUGUGCUUAAUCAUUUAGUAAACCAUCAAAAUACUUAAUUGAAUGCAAAAACCUAAAAUCAUGCUCUUCUGUCCGAUCCAAUUAUUUUUAGCAUUUAAUAUACCAUAUUCUUAUCAGAUUUACUUCAUAGACAAAUCAGCAAUAAUUCUUAUUAUUAUUAUUCUCACCCAGUUCGUGUAAUAAUUAUGAUUAUUCCACGAAAUGGGUGAGAAUAAUAAGAAUUAUUCACCGGGAACUUUAUAGAUCGAUAGAUCAGCUAUUUAAUUCUAGAAACUAAAACAAAUGUUUAUUCAUUUUCACAAUCAUAGACUAAUAAAUUACUUAUUUAAACCAUUUGAACCAUUUUAAAAUGCUUAUUUUUUGUUCUUUCAUCAGGGGCGUAGAAAGGGAACGGGGGCUAAAACGUAUUCAUAUAAAUAUUUCUUGAUGUCAAUAUAUCAUAAUUAUUUUAAGACUUUAGGUCUGUCAGAAUAAUACGCCAUGAAAAAGAUGCCCAACAAGGAUAGAUUCAGCAAGCAAAAUUAGCCCGAUAUGGUUCAAAAUUAGCCCGAUAUGGUUCAAAAUUAGCCCGAUAUGGUUCAAAAUUAGCCCGAUAUGGUUCAAAAUUUGCCCGAUAUGGUUCAAAAUUAGCCUGAUAUGGUUCAAAAUUACCCCGAUAUGGUUCAAAAUAAGCUCUAUAUGGUUCAAAAUUAGCCCGAUAUGGUUCAAAAUUAGCCCGAUAUGGUUCAAAAUUAGCCCUGUAUGGUUCAAAAUUAACCCGAUAUGGUUCAAAAUUAGCCCGAUAUGGUUCAAAAAAGCCAACUGUCAGGGGAACUGUUUGAUCUACAUCAGACUUCAGUAAAUAAAUAAGAAUAAGCGCCUCAACUCAAUUUCAGCAAAAGCAAGUAGAAAUUAUAUAUAAUAUAUAAUAUUUUUAUAAAAUUACCUACAAACACGGGUUUUCAGGGGCGUCAAAGGGAAAAUAUCAGAUUUUAAUUUACAAUAUCAUAGAAAUUAGUAAAUGUUGGCAAUUUAAACCCGACCAUCUUGUAGGAAGAGUCUUCAAGGGCUGAAAGAUUCAAAAUGCACAAUUUUCAUCAAAAGGAGAUCCUAGAGAUUCAAUAUCAGUAAACACCCCCCUCUUUGAUUUUAUUCUAUAACUUAAAGUAAUUUUUAAAUGAAUUAAAUUUUGUAAAAUGAACCAUUUUUCAUAGAAAGGAGCGCCUAUAAAUUCAAUAUCACUUAACACUGUAAACUCAUUUAACAAACGCAAAGAAAUAAAAGCUUUCAGUUAUUGAAGAAACUCCAUAAAGAAUGGUAUGGUCUGACUAAAUUAGACAUCUACAUUUUCUUUGAUUUUAACAAAUGAAAUAUAAGAGGUGUUACGCGAGCUACGCUGCGUUCAUAAAGUCUAUGUGAUACCCCUGUGAUUCUCUGAGUUCCCCCUGAGGAUCUGUACAGAACGUAUUGUAAAGAACUAGUUUUAGAAGCUGUUUACAGUCCGACUACGCAUGCGCAAGUUCCCUGCGUAGGAGCGAGCAGUUUCUACUUCAGUAUACAGUUGUAUUUCAUGUAAUGUUCGUCGAUUAUUAAAACCGUGUGAAAAUUCUAGGACCACUGCGAUUGAAGGCUUAGAGAAAUAAACGUUCGGAACCUUAUUAUCAUCCUUUUGUUAUGGAGAGCGUUGAGAGAAGGAAGCCUUACAAUCCUAUCCAGAGAAAUACCACUCGGUA
rnacentral:lncRNA from 1 species